AAAUAGAUGGUUAGAUAAAGGAAAUGGAAGCUGCUCGUUGCUCACUUUGGUAGACACAUGGAAAAAAGAGACUGAUGAAAAAGAUGUGACAAGCGAAAUAGAAAAUGAUACUUAAUUUUGAAGGCUUUGUGUUGGGCAGCUGUAGAAUAUUUUGUGCUGAAAGUAGUAACUUUUCAAUAUGUUGAAUAUUUAAGACUAUUUGAAUACUUAAAGAACAUUUUGUUGUUGAUGACAUUGUUGAAUGUUUUAAACUAAUUUGUGGAUUGUUAAUACAAUGUUGAAUGUUUUUACUUUUUGUUA